rnacentral:rRNA from 1 species
CGCGUAGGCGGUAUAUCAAGUCAGCUGUGAAAUACCCGGGCUUAACCUGGGGCUUGCAAUUGAAACUGGUAGACUUAGAGUGCAGGAGAGGGAAGUGGAAUUCCUAGUGUAGCGGUGAAAUGCGUAGAUAUUAGGAGGAACACCAGUGGCGAAGGCGACUUUCUGGACUGUAACUGACGCUGAGGCGCGAAAGCGUGGGGAGCGAACA